rnacentral:rRNA from 1 species
GACGAACGCUGGCGGCGUGCUUAACACAUGCAAGUCGAACGGGAACCUUUAUUUCGGUAAAGGUGAGAGUGGCAAACGGGUGAGUAACACGUAGGCAACCUGCCGACAGGGUGGGGACAACAUUCCGAAAGGAAUGCUAAUACCGAAUGGAGUCCGGAGAUGGCAUCAUCUCCGGAUAAAAGAUGGCCUCUGAAUAUGCUAUCGCCUGUCGAUGGGCCUGCGUCUGAUUAGCCAGUUGGCGGGGUAACGGCCCACCAAAGCGACGAUCAGUAGCCGGUCUGAGAGGAUGAACGGCCACAUUGGGACUGAGACACGGCCCAGACUCCUACGGGAGGCAGCAGUGGGGAAUCUUCCACAAUGGGCGAAAGCCUGAUGGAGCAACGCCGCGUGAGUGAAGAAGGUCUUCGGAUCGUAAAGCUCUGUUGCACGGGACGAAAACCGAGCUUGAGAAUAU